AUGAACGCUAGCGGCAGGCUUAACACAUGCAAGUCGAGGGGCAGCGCGGGAUAGCAAUAUCCUGGCGGCGACCGGCGGAAGGGUGCGUAACGCGUGAGCGACAUGCCCGUUGCCCGGGGACAACCGGUGGAAACGCCGACUAAUCCCCGAUGGGAUAUUGUGCCGCAUGGCACGAUAUUGAAAGUUACGGCGGCGACGGAUUGGCUCGCGUCCGAUUAGCUUGUUGGCGGGGUAACGGCCCACCAAGGCUACGAUCGGUAGGGGUUCUGAGAGGAAGGCCCCCCACAAUGGGACUGAGACACGGCCCAUACUCCUACGGGAGGCAGCAGUGAGGAAUAUUGGUCAAUGGGCGGAAGCCUGAACCAGCCAUGCCGCGUGCGGGAAGGAGGCCCUAUGGGCUGUGAACCGCUUUUGCCUGGGGGCAAUAAGGGCGUCGCGCACGUCCGAUGAGAGUACCAGGCGAAUAAGCAUCGGCUAACUCCGUGCCAGCAGCCGCGGUAAUACGGGGGAUGCGAGCGUUAUCCGGAUUCAUUGGGUUUAAAGGGUGCGUAGGCUGUGCGUCAAGUCGGGGGUGAAAUUCCGGUGCUCAACACCGGGGCUGCCCUUGAUACUGUCGCGCUGGAGUGCGGAUGCCGCCGGAGGAAUGAGUGGUGUAGCGGUGAAAUGCUUAGAUAUCACUCAGAACACCGAUUGCGAAGGCAUCUGGCGAAUCCGUAACUGACGCUGAGGCACGAAAGCGUGGGGAUAGAACAGGAUUAGAUACCCUGGUAUUCCACGCCGUAAACGAUGAUGGCUAACCGCCGGCGACACACUGUCGGUGGCCAAGCGAAAGCGAUAAGCCAUCCACCUGGGGAGUACGUCGGCAACGAUGAAACUCAAAGGAAUUGACGGGGGCCCGCACAAGCGGAGGAACAUGUGGUUUAAUUCGAUGAUACGCGAGGAACCUUACCCGGGCUUGAAAGUUAGCGACGAUUCUUGAAAGAGGAUUUCCCUUCGGGGCGCGAAACUAGGUGCUGCAUGGUUGUCGUCAGCUCGUGCCGUGAGGUGUCGGCUCAAGUGCCAUAACGAGCGCAACCCUUGCCGCCAGUUGCCAUCAGGUCAAGCUGGGCACUCUGGCGGGACUGCCACCGCAAGGUGUGAGGAGGGGGGGGAUGACGUCAAAUCAGCACGGCCCUUACGUCCGGGGCGACACACGUGUUACAAUGGCGGCCACAGAGGGAUGCUACCCCGCGAGGGGAUGCGGAUCUCGAAAAGCCGUCCCAGUUCGGACUGGAGUCUGCAACCCGACUCCACGAAGUUGGAUUCGCUAGUAAUCGCGCAUCAGCCAUGGCGCGGUGAAUACGUUCCCGGGCCUUGUACACACCGCCCGUCAAGCCAUGGAAGCCGCGGGCGCCUGAAGUCCGUGACCGGAAGGAGCGGCCUAGGGCGAAAGUGGUAACUGGGGCU
rnacentral:rRNA from 1 species